UGCAGGUGCUGCAGUUAAAGCUCGUAGUUGAUUUCGGGCCUAGCUGGGUGGUCUAGCUUAACGGUUAGUACUACUUUGGCUGGGUCUUUCCUUCUGGCCAACCAGUGUGUCCUUAACUGGGUGCGCUGGGGCUCCAGGACUUUUACUGUGAAAAAAUUAGAGUGUUUAAAGCAGGCUUACGCUUGAAUACAUUAGCAUGGAAUAUUAGAAUAGGACUUUGGUUCUAUUUUGUUGGUUUCUAGGACCGAAGUAAUGAUUAAUAGGGAUAGUUGGGGGCAUUAGUAUUUAAUUGUCAGAGGUGAAAUUCUUGGAUUUAUGAAAGACUAACUUCUGCGAAAGCAUUUGCCAAGGAUGUUUUCAUUAAUCAAGAACGAAACAAGGGGGAUCGAAGACGAUCAGAUACCGUCGUAGUCUCUUGCGUAAACGAUGCCGACUAGGGAUCGGACGAUGUUAUUUAUUGACUCGUUCGGCACCUUAUGAGAAAUCAAAGUUUUUGGGUUCCGGGGGGAGUAUGGUCGCAAGGCUGAAACUUAAAGGAAUUGACGGAAGGGCACCACCAGGAGUGGAGCCUGCGGCUUAAUUUGACUCAACACGGGGAAACUCACCAGGUCCAGACAUAGUAAGGAUUGACAGAUUGAGAGCUCUUUCUUGAUUCUAUGGGUGGUGGUGCAUGGCCGUUCUUAGUUGGUGGAGUGAUUUGUCUGGUUAAUUCCGAUAACGAACGAGACCUUAACCUGCUAAAUAGUUAUAUUCACUCUGGUGGAUACCUAACUUCUUAGAGGGACUAUGGAUGUUUAAUCCAUGGAAGUUUGAGGCAAUAACAGGUCUGUGAUGCCCCUAGAUGUUCUGGGCCGCACGCGCGCUACACUGAUGAAGUCAACGAGUAUUCACCUUGGCUGGAAAGUCUGGGUAAUCUUGUGAAACUUUAUCGUGCUGGGGAUAGUCACUUGUAAUUUUGACUUGAACGAGGAAUUCCUAGUAAGCGUGAGUCAUCAGCUCGCGUUGAUUACGUCCCUGCCCUUUGUACACACCGCCCGUCGUUACUACCGAUUGAAUGGCUUAGUGAGACCUCCGGAUUGUGGCCUAUGACCGGCAACGGAAACGCGCUACUGAGAAGCUGGUCAAACUUGGUCAUUUAGAGGAAG
rnacentral:rRNA from 1 species